GCGCCCGUAGUACAGUGGAUAGUACACUGGCCUCCGAAGCUGGAGACGCUGGUUCGAUUCCAGCCGGGCGCA
rfam:Candidatus Magasanikbacteria bacterium RIFCSPHIGHO2_01_FTLL_50_8 rifcsphigho2_01_scaffold_16138, whole genome shotgun sequence.